GACUAAACAACGUUAACAAUACUGGCUCCCGUUCGAUCACCAAAGUAAAGUAGCGUCGAUCCUGGUCAGUACUUAGAUGGGGAACCGCUAGGGAACACCGAGUACUGUAAG